rnacentral:rRNA from 1 species
GACGAACGCUGGCGGCGUGCUUAACACAUGCAAGUCGAACGGAAAGGCCCUGCUGUUGUGGGGUGCUCGAGUGGCGAACGGGUGAGUAACACGUGAGUAACCUGCCCUUGACUUUGGGAUAACUUCAGGAAACUGGGGCUAAUACCGGAUAGGAGCUCCUGCUGCAUGGUGGGGGUUGGAAAGUUUCGGCGGUUGGGGAUGGACUCGCGGCUUAUCAGCUUGUUGGUGGGGUAGUGGCUUACCAAGGCUUUGACGGGUAGCCGGCCUGAGAGGGUGACCGGCCACAUUGGGACUGAGAUACGGCCCAGACUCCUACGGGAGGCAGCAGGGGGGAAUAUUGCACAAUGGGCGGAAGCCUGAUGCAGCAACGCCGCGUGCGGGAUGACGGCCUUCGGGUUGUAAACCGCUUUCGCCUGUGACGAAGCGUGAGUGACGGUAAUGGGUAAAGAAGCACCGGCUAACUACGUG